rnacentral:lncRNA from 1 species
GUUUGGUCUGGGCGUGCGAUCGAGAGAAGGAACCAAGGGAACCAAAACCCUAAACAACCAAAAAUCAUCAAAUUGAAAGGGGAAUCGAGGGCUGAUCGAAUGCAUGAGUCUAGAUACCCUUUAAUCUAAGUGUAUUGAUCAUAAGUGGUAUGGUGGAACGUGUCAAGGAGAGCUCAAGCAUAGGAGGAUAACGGGUCAAGAUAAGGCAAGGUGACAAAUACACUUAUUGGAAUACUCAAGGUGAUGAAUGUCGGACUUUCGAAGUGUUGAU